CAGUUUACUCCAGAGAAGAAACUGUGUCUCAUAAUUUCUUUUGCAUCAUCUGGUCCUCCACCAAGGCUAUGAGAACAGAAAUAAAAUUAAGCACAGUAGAUACCAGAUGCUCAGAGCAGAGCAGCCAUGGAGCUGCUGGGACCAAACCUUGCCUGACCUAGCCACCACCACACCCCAGACAUAUAAAUUUAAAUUUUACUGAUAUAAAGAAUGCAAAACACAAAAUUUACAAAGAUCAUAAAACAUACAAUGUUGUGUAUUGUAAAUUAGUCACCUGAUUCUCACAGAAAACUUGUUAAUUUCUGCUGUACGCCAAAGCCACUAAUGGAUGAAACUUACGAUUAGUUCCAACAUGAAUAUUGGUUGACAUUUUUGUUUAUGUUAAAGUCAAAGCUGAAAGUGAUACAAUGGAGACUUCAGAACUUCACUUGUCAGUUAUUUGUGUAGGUUUCUUUCCCAGGAGACUGCAAACUCCUUUGAAGGCAAGAUCAGUGCUGGAUUAUCCAAAAGGCAUUCUAAGCUUGUGCUUGGGGAACCAGAGAAGCAAAAGCACCAAAACACGUUUCUGAAAAGCAUUUAAUAUUUUCAAGCAUGCGUCAACAUAGUCUGCAUGAGAAACAUCAAAGCUCCAUGGCAUUUUCUUACACUUAUGUUGUAGUUUAUUUCAAUACUGUUUUCAUUUGAAUUGUACUUGAGAUGGGAGUUGGAGUGGAGAAUCAUAAUCAUUUUGUAAAUAAAAUGUUUUAAUCCA
rnacentral:lncRNA from 10 species